rnacentral:rRNA from 1 species
GACGAACCGUGCGAACGUUAUUCGGAAUCACUGGGCUUAAAGCGCGUGUAGGCGGGCCGCCGCGUCGGCUGCUGAAAUCCCCCGGCUCAACCGGGGAACGGGCACCGAUACGGGCGGCCUCGAGGGGGUAGGGGGGUCUGGAACUUCCGGUGGAGCGGUGAAAUGCGUUGAGAUCGGAAGGAACGCCCGUGGCGAAAGCGACGGCCCUAGGAC